rnacentral:lncRNA from 1 species
UAGGAGGGCUGAGCUUGGCCAGCUCAGAACUACCUUAGCUGCUAGAGGAGACCUCUGAGGAAGACUGAGGAAAGAGUACGCUGUGAACCGCCGCUGGUGUGUGUACUCAGGCUACUCUCAACUCAGGUCUCCAGAUCCUGUGAAGAGGAAGCAGAGCUCAGUUUCUGAAGCUAGGCAGGCCUUCACCUGGAAAUCCUCCUGGCUCAGUCUCCUGCAUAGCUGAAGUGUACCUGAGACACUAUAUGCAGCUUCACUCCUCAGGCCUUGGCUGUCUUUCCAGCCUGUUGGUGCACAUACCCAGAUUCACUGAGGUCAGUCUUAAACCCAGAGGUGAGGUCUGCAUGUGUGGUGCCUUCAUUCUCACGCUGGAUGGAAUGGUUAACAGAAACAAGCAAACCCCAUCUUACUUCUUUUUUUCUCUACAUUCUUCCAAACAGGAGGAACCAACCUCAGCAAAUGGGAUUGUUUAUUUCACAGUGGUGAAGGGCGGACGCAAUGGGCAUGACAGCUCACACUCUUGGUUGUCAGCUUAGUGACAUGCAAGGUUAACUAAACCCAAGCAGCUGAGCACACCUGUGAGGAAUUCUCUUCAUCCAAUCCAGGAAGACCUGGCUUUGUGCCUGGAGCAUCCCUCAUGCGACUGCAUGGUGGGGGUGGGGUGGGGGUGGGGUCAGUAAAGGGCUUGGAGGUGAAGCACUCUGGAGACAGUUUCAGGGAUUGGCUUCUGCUGUAUUGCACAUGAGCAGCUGUUUAUCUUGUGGAAGCCUAUCGGCUGUGAUUGGUUAGCACAUUACCUCAGAUUGGACUCAUAUUGCCUGGGUCUCUGUGCAGAAGAAGCACACAAACAGACUUGGAGAAUGCAGAUGCAUCAGCAGGCCAGCUACCACCUACGGAUGCUACUUCAGCAUUCCGUGUUCUGACUCUCGGAAUACCCAGGAGCAUGGUGUGCCAGGUGUCUCUCUUAGAAGCAGUGUGCUCGUAGUCCGACUGCCAGGUCAGGCGUGCAUUUUUUCCUACAGAGACCCACCCUAAAUCUGCAUCUUUUGAAGUGGGAGUAUCUACCUUAAAUCUGGACCACACCUUCUGGUGGCAAACUCCAUAAAGGACAUGGAAGAAGGACGCUUUCGCUCUUUGCCUGCUUGCCUUGCUCUUCCCUCAUUGCUCUUUCAGCCUACGUAUACUGAAGACCAGCGGAGACAUCCAGGCUCGAGGACUGAACAAGUACUGGGUUCUUGGACUUUACUUUGGAGACAGCCAUUGUCAAACUAGCUGAACCACAGCCU